AUUGAACGCUGGCGGCAUGCUUUACACAUGCAAGUCGAACGGCAGCGCGGGCUUCGGCCUGGCGGCGAGUGGCGAACGGGUGAGUAAUGCAUCGGAACGUGCCCAGUAGUGGGGGAUAGCCCGGCGAAAGCCGGAUUAAUACCGCAUACGACCUGAGGGUGAAAGCGGGGGACCGAAAGGCCUCGCGCUAUUGGAGCGGCCGAUGUCGGAUUAGCUAGUUGGUGGGGUAAAGGCUUACCAAGGCGACGAUCCGUAGCUGGUCUGAGAGGACGACCAGCCACACUGGGACUGAGACACGGCCCAGACUCCUACGGGAGACAGCAGUGGGGAAUUUUGGACAAUGGGGGCAACCCUGAUCCAGCCAUGCCGCGUGCGGGAAGAAGGCCUUCGGGUUGUAAACCGCUUUUGUUCGGGAAGAAAUCCUCUGGGCUAAUACCCCGGGGGGAUGACGGUACCGGAAGAAUAAGCACCGGCUAACUACGUG
rnacentral:rRNA from 1 species